UUGACCUCGGAUCAGGUAGGGAUACCCGCUGAACUUAAGCAUAUCAAUAGCCCGGAGGAA
rnacentral:rRNA from 1 species